AUGAACGCUGGCGGCGUGCCUAAUACAUGCAAGUCGAACGAGUUCUCCCUAAAUCUUUUGAUGCUUGCAUUAAAAGAUUUAGGAUUCGGAACGAGUGGCGAACUGGUGAGUAACACGUGGGUAACCUGCCCUGAAGUGGGGGAUAACAUUUGGAAACAAAUGCUAAUACCGCAUAAUUAGUUGAAACCACAUGGUUUCAACUUGAAAGAUGGCUCUGCUAUCACUUUAGGAUGGACCCGCGGCGUAUUAGCUAGUUGGUGAGAUAAUAGCCCACCAAGGCGAUGAUACGUAGCCGACCUGAGAGGGUAAUCGGCCACAUUGGGACUGAGACACGGCCCGGACUCCCACGGGGGGCAGCAGUGGGAAUCUUGGACAAUGGGCGAAAGCCCGAUCCAGCAAUAUCGCGUGA
rnacentral:rRNA from 1 species